rnacentral:SRP_RNA from 1 species
UGGUCGUGCGCGUCCCCAGCGGGGUGCCACGGAGAUGAGCACGGCGCGGCAGUAUUGACGGAUGAAUCGGGUGACGCUUGGCAUACAGUGCAGGGCAAGCCCGCU